rnacentral:rRNA from 1 species
UCGAAACUGUGUGCGUGGGGCGGCGGAAGAGAGUGGGGGUGAGGUGUGAUCGGAUUUAUUGUGGGGAAAGGUGGGGUGGGGGGGUUGUUUAGUGUGGAUGGAAAGCCCCCGGGUGAACCUGGGGAAGGCAACCAAAACUGGGGGGCCUGGGGAAGGUGGGGGGUGGGGGGAUUUCCCGUGUAGGGGUGAAAUGCGUAGAGAUAGGAAGGGACACCAGUGGCGAAGGCAGGCAUCUUGCCUAAUACUGAAGCUGAGGGACGAAAGCAUGGGGAGCAAACAGGAUUAGAUACCCUAGUAGUC